UACGAAGGGGGCUAGCGUUGCUCGGAAUCACUGGGCGUAAAGGGUGCGUAGGCGGGUCUUUAAGUCAGGGGUGAAAUCCUGGAGCUCAACUCCAGAACUGCCUUUGAUACUGAGGAUCUUGAGUAUGGGAGAGGUGAGUGGAACUGCGAGUGUAGAGGUGAAAUUCGUAGAUAUUCGCAAGAACACCAGUGGCGAAGGUCGGCUCACUGGCCCAUUACUGACGCUGAGGCACGAAAGCGUGGGGAGCAAACAGG
rnacentral:rRNA from 1 species